rnacentral:piRNA from 1 species
UCCAUUAUGGUGGGAAAAAAUAGUGUC